UACGUAGGGUGCGAGCGUUGUCCGGAAUUACUGGGCGUAAAGAGCUCGUAGGUGGUUUGUCGCGUUGUUCGUGAAAACUCACAGCUUAACUGUGGGCGUGCGGGCGAUACGGGCAGACUGGAGUACUGCAGGGGAGACUGGAAUUCCUGGUGUAGCGGUGGAAUGCGCAGAUAUCAGGAGGAACACCGGUGGCGAAGGCGGGUCUCGUGGGCCGAUGACUGACGCUGAGGAGCGAAAGCGUGGGGAGCGAACAGG
rnacentral:rRNA from 1 species